GACAGAGGGGGCAAGCGUUGCUCGGAAUUACUGGGCGUAAAGGGCGCGUAGGCGGGAUGGCAAGUCGGUCGUGAAAUCCUUCGGCUCAACCGAAGAACGUCGAUCGAUACUGCUGUUCUUGAGGAUUGCAGAGGAGACUGGAAUUCCCGGUGUAGCGGUGAAAUGUGUAGAGAUCGGGAGGAACACCGGUGGCGAAGGCGGUGGUCUGGGCCGGAACUGACGCUGAGGAGCGAAAGCGUGGGGAGCAAACAGG
rnacentral:rRNA from 1 species